rnacentral:rRNA from 1 species
GACGAACGCUGGCGGCGUGCUUAACACAUGCAAGUCGAACGAUGAAGCCCAGCUUGCUGGGUGGAUUAGUGGCGAACGGGUGAGUUACACGUGGGCAACCUGCCCCAAACUCUGGGAUAACUCCUCGAAAGAGGUGCUAAUACCGGAUACGAACUAGACAGACAUCUGUACUAGUUGGAAAGUUUUUCGGUUUGGGAUGGGCCCGCGGCCUAUCAGCUUGUUGGUGGGGUAACGGCUCACCAAGGCUACGACGGGUAACCGGCCUGAGAGGGCGACCGGUCACACUGGGACUGAGACACGGCCCAGACUCCUACGGGAGGCAGCAGUGGGGAAUAUUGCUCAAUGGGCGAAAGCCUGACGCAGCGACGCCGCGUGAGGGAUGAAGGUCUUCGGAUCGUAAACCUCUUUCAGUAGGGGCGAAGCGAAAGUGACGGUACCUAAAGAAGAAGCACCGGCUAACUACGUGCCAGCAGCCGCAGUAA